AUAUUACUCAGCGGAGGAAAAGAAACUAACUAAGAUUGCCCCAGUAACUGCGAGUGAAGAGGCAAGAGCUCAACCUUAAAAUCGCUUUACUACGUGAGGCGAAUUGUAAGCUCAAGUACUGGACUUAGGUAAGUCUAACGCAGAAGUGCCUAGGAUUAGGCUGCCAUAGAGGGUGAAAGCCCCGUUCAUGGCGUUGGAUGAGCCGAGGGAAGGUAUCUCAGAGUCGGGUUGUUUGGUAAUGCAGCCUAAACGGGAGAUAAACAUCUUCUAAAGCUAAAUAUGAAUGGGAGACCGAUAGCGCACAAGUA
rnacentral:rRNA from 1 species